UGUGUGUGUGUGUGUGUGUGUGUGUGUGUGUGUGUGUUUGUUUUUAUUACAUGGUGGGGGCCGCAACACGUUAGCACACUCACAGUGUGGGGACCGAAAACAUUGUGGGGACCAGUUUGCCGGUCCCCACAAUGUUUUCAGCCAAAAUGCGCCAGUUGACUCAGGAGACCAUGCUGAUAUGGGUGGUGCGGUUUUUUUUUUGGACCCCACCAUACGCAAAAACAUGAGAAGUGUGUAAAAGCGUGCUUACACACAUGCUCACCGAUGCCCCCGGAGGUAUCUUGGUGGUACUGCACCCUAGCCUAAAAGUGUGCUUAGGAUGCGGACCGUAAGCACACUUUCACUACUGCGCCUGCGCAACCCUGAUACACGUCACUGAGUGCUGUGGACGCUGAAUUAAUCACUGCUACUACAAGAACAAAGAAACUACAUUUCCCGUAAUUCCCUCUGUCACGCCACGAAAGAGCUGAAGGAUAGCUGCACUCAAGAAGCACUGAUGUAAGAUACUCUCAGUUGCAGGAGGAGAAGAUGAAAUGAGACGGAGGAGGGUGAAACCACUUGAUGAAGCAGUACAACAUGUCACCAGUGCAACUGACAAGACUGAUGUAUUGGAGAGUAAAUUAAUAAACCCUUAUAAAGGUCAUGGUGUAUUUGCCCUGGCUUCUUUGAAUAAAGGAGAUUUUGUGGUUGAAUGCAGAGGGGAACUGAUGGACUUUCUUGAAUCAGGGAGAAGGAGGAAGGUCUCCCGAAUUACUGUAUUACUUUUGGCAGAAUAAACAGUGCAUUGUUGCAACAAGAGAGGAUGACACCCUUGGCCGACUAGUGAACGAUGAGCACAAGGACCUCAACUGUAAAAUGAAAAAGAUCAUUGUCCAGGGAAAACCGCAUCUCUGCGUUUUUGUGAUGAGAGAUAUAAUGCCUGGAGAGAAAAUAACCUACGACUGUGGAGGAAGUGACUGGCAUCGGAGUAGAAAGGUUUGUAAGAUGUGUUUGGAAAAUAUUUGAAAUAGAUUUUACUAGCUUAGCAGUGUGAUUGAGUGCUUAUCAGCAUUUGAUCAAAAAGUAACCCUUUGAAAGCCCAUGCAAUGUGUAUUGCUGUCCUUGACAUUGAGUAGAAGUUACAUUUUCUUGAGAUUAAUUUCGAUAAUGGCUUAGCCUGAAUUACAUUUCUUAGUAAGGAUUUUCUUAGUAAG